ensembl:lncRNA PPIEL peptidylprolyl isomerase E like (pseudogene)
GGAAGCAAGAUGGCGGCCGCCGAGAGGGUUCACAAAGGCUCUGGUCCAUUAGAGGAAGGAGGUCCCAGAAUAGCUGGGAAAUUACGAGAACAGCCUCACUGCACGAGUUGGUGAAUGCUGUGAUGGCGAUUGUAUGAUGGACGGUGAUGUUGAAACCAGACUGGGGAAUGACCGCCCCAUCCGGAGAGAAAAGCACCAAGGAUUCUCUUUUGUUGAAUUUGAGUUGGCAGAGGAUGUUGCAGCAGCUGUCAACAACAUGUUUGGUCAGAUGAAGACUGGGUGGAGAAGUUUGCUGGGAAGAGGAUAAAGAGGAAGGUGGUUGAGACUUCCCAAAGCAGAAAGCCAGGAGGUAAGAAUGACAGUUCAUGCUUCCAUAGGAGAGGCUGCUGCUUUCCACAUAGGGAAUUUCUGAGGUGAGUGGUGUUGGGUGAAUUUAAAGGAGAAGUUUUGGCUUUCUUAUCUAGGUGAGAAAUAUCUUAUGUGGGCUCAGGUAUUUGUGAUUGCUGCUGAGCAAGGCGGAUAUCUGAGGUGAGAAAGGAUGGUGAGUACUCUGCAUCACCAGCAUCCGCUAUCCUCCUAGUCUUUGGCAGCAGGCUCACUGUCUUCCUGUUCUUGCCCUAAUUCCAAGGGGGCAGAAUCAUGUAGAGGUCCCUUCCCCUCAGUCAGUACACAGGCACAAGGCUCUCCCUGCCCUCUCCACUUGCUCCUGCUUCUCCAUCAGGCCAUCCUGACUGUUGCUUCCCAGGAUAAUUUAAGGGCUCCUCCUCCUCAGUCCACCCUUUGAGCAGUGAUAUUUCCCUGAAUUCCUUCCUUAGCCCUCAGCACCUCUCUCCACAUUAUCCUUAUGCCAUGUCAGCCCCUUCUAUCUCCUAAGGUUAUAACGAUCUUUCAUUGUCCGAAUGAUAUUCUGAUCUCUAUCCCUAGCCCUGACCUUUCACAUAUUUCUGUUUGGGUGUCUUAUAGGCACCAUAAAUAAAGCAUAUCCCAAAUGGGUUUCAUCACCUUUCUGGUCUUUUUUUAUGCCCAAUCUUAGUUCACUUUGCCAUCUUCAACAUAGUCACACCCAAACCAGAUUCCUUGGUGCCAGCUUAGAUCCCUCACUGUAUUUCAUACCUAAUGCAUUACCAUACCCUGCUAAUUUUAUCUUUUAAAUCUUGCGUUUCUCCUCUCCAGUUUUCUUCUGCCACUGUUGUCUUGGCUGAGGCCUUAUCCUCUCUCCUGUGAAUAAUUGGAGUAGCUUCCUAACUGGUCUCCCUGCCCCAGGCCUGUUUUCCUCCUAUCCUUAGCAGCCAGAGGGAGCUUUCUAAAGGGCAGAUCUGACUAUCUCACUCUCCUUAAGCAUUCUAGGGACUCCCUUGAUUUAUAGGAUUGAGUCCAGCCUCCAUCAAAAGGGACAGAAGACCUCUCUAUGUUCUGAUUCCUGCUUAUGUCUCCAUAUUUUAUCUCCAUUUUAUAUUCUAGGAAACAAGAGUUUGUAGAUACCUGUAAAUCUCUGUUUUGAUGUAAGUCAUUCCUCUGCCUGCAGUGUCCUUUUCCAAUUUAUUUUAUGUGGCUAAUGCCUGCUCAUUUCUCAUAGCGCAGCCCAUUUACUGCCUUCUCCAGGAAGCUUUUCUGAAUCCUCCAGUGAGUAAGGGAGAGCCCACUGCUAAAAAAGGCCUAGUCAAAUCCUCAGGUGUACAUGGACAUCAAGAUUGGGAACAAGCCGGCUGGCUGCAUCCAAACCCUCCUGCGUUCCGACGUCGUGCCCAUGACCACAGAGAAUUUUCUCUACAUGUGCACCCAUUUAAAGGACUCGGCUUCAAGGGAAGCAGCUUCCACCGCAUUAUCCCCCAGUUCAUUUGCCAGGGCAGUGAUUUCACAAACCACGGUGGCACCAGGGGUCUGCGCAGGCAUGGCACUAAGUGUCCCAUGGCACAUUUGGCCCUCAUGGAGGCCUCAAAAGGGCAGGACCAGCACCCUCUUCUACGGAGGAAGGAACGGGCACAGCAGAGGACUGCAUCCGCCCUCAGCACUUCAAGGCCCUGCAUGUGCCCGCACCUCUCCACUCCCCUGGCUCAGCUUGGACCUCUCUUCUGAACUCCAGACUUGCGGAUCCUGCUCCCCUUCCCACUUCUGCACUUGGGGGUCUAAUGAGGCCUCAGUGGAACAUAGAAUUCCUCCCGCCCUGACAUCAUAGCUCCCGCCUGGGAGGCCUCCUGGAUGACUCCUUUCGCCUCCUCCCUUCCCUGAGAGCAGCCCCUGGCUCAACCUCCACCUCCGUGCUGCCUCGGACCACCUGCCCAGUCGAGCUGCCAUCACCUGCCAGGGUGAGCCACUGCGCCUGAUCAAGGCAUCACCGUUGAACCUCCUAAGAGGAAAACAUAAGGCUGUGCAAUACCAGGAACUGGGAUUCUAGGUUGCCCCAGACACCAAGGCAUCAAAAGCCAGGGGAUCCAGAGAAAACACAGACAGCCAAGAGAGAAACUGCGGGAAAAAGCCAAAAGGUUGAGAGCCACACCAUCUAGAAGCUUCCUGCCUGUGGUGCGGCACAGAAACAAGGAGAGUCAGCAAUUACCAGCCAGCCAAGGUCCUGGAAGCUGACGUAGAGCUCGUGCCGACGGCAGACCUGCCGGCCGUGGGAGCCGCGGACGUCAUCUGCAGGGACAGAAGGGGCAAGGUCUUUUCUGGGGUUCCUGCUGUGUGCAGCUACUAUGGGGUACCAGGGUGGGGGAUGCCCUGAUGAGCACAUUUGUCAAAUAAAUGAAUGACAGGAAACCA